GGGCCCGCACAAGCGGUGGAGCAUGUGGUUUAAUUCGAUGAUACGCGAGGAACCUUACCAGGACUUAAAUGCACAAUGACAGAUUGGGAAACCAAUCCUUCUUCGGACAAUGUGCAAGGUGCUGCAUGGUUGUCGUCAGCUCGUGCCGUGAGGUGUCAGGUUAAGUCCUAUAACGAGCGCAACCCCUAUUCUUAGUUGCCAGCGGUUCGGCCGGGGACUCUAAGAAAACUGCCAGCGCAAGCUGUGAGGAAGGUGGGGAUGACGUCAAAUCAUCACGGCCCUUACGUCCUGGGCCACACACGUGCUACAAUGGUAGGUACAAAGGGCAGCCACUUGGCAACAAGGAGCUAAUCUCUAAAACCUAUCUCAGUUCGGAUCGCAGUCUGCAACUCGACUGCGUGAAGCUGGAAUCGCUAGUAAUCG
rnacentral:rRNA from 1 species